GAGACAGCAGUCGCCGCGGGAAUACAGAGGGUGCGAGCGUUAAUCGGAUUUACUGGGCGUAAAGCGUGCGUAGGCGGCUUCUUAAGUCGGAUGUGAAAUCCCUGAGCUUAACUUAGGAAUUGCAUUCGAUACUGGGAAGCUAGAGUAUGGGAGAGGAUGGUAGAAUUCCAGGUGUAGCGGUGAAAUGCGUAGAGAUCUGGAGGAAUACCGAUGGCGAAGGCAGCCAUCUGGCCUAAUACUGACGCUGAGGUACGAAAGCAUGGGGAGCAAACAGGAUUAGAUACCCGUGUAGUCCCUGUCUCUUAUAC
rnacentral:rRNA from 1 species